GCUCUGUUCACUCUGGAGUCCUCGGUGUAGCCCAUGAUGAUGCUGCCUUUCUCCUCUCCCCUGCCUGGUGUCAUGGAGUGAGGGAUCCAGACCCCACAGCCCUGGGGUUCUCAGCUGCUGUGCUAUGGGYGCAGAUGGGGAAAGAGCUGCAGCAUCUGCACUCGGAUGACUGUGGAGCUGAGUACCAGCAGGCUCUGGUGAACGUCCAYGAGAAGCUGCGUGAGCUGGAGGGGCUGGGCGUAAGGAGCAGAUGGAGCAGCAGCUUCAGCAGUGGUUCGCUGAGCGCUGGAAGGUGAUGAAGGUUUGAUCCUGGCUUCAUGCAAGUUCCUGCCAGCAAUCAGCAAAGCAUUCGCAGAGUACCCA
rnacentral:lncRNA from 1 species